GAUGAACGCUGGCGGCGUGCUUAACACAUGCAAGUCGAACGAUGAAGCCCAGCUUGCUGGGUGGAUUAGUGGCGAACGGGUGAGUAACACGUGAGUAACCUGCCCUUGACUCUGGGAUAAGCCUGGUAAACUGGGUCUAAUACUGGAUAUGACUUCUCAUCGCAUGGUGGGGGGUGGAAAGAUUUAUUGGUCUUGGAUGGACUCGCGGCCUAUCAGCUUGUUGGUGAGGUAAUGGCUCACAAAGGCGACGACGGGUAGCCGGCCUGAGAGGGUGACCGGCCACACUGGGACUGGGACACGGCCCAGACUCCUACGGGAGGCAGCAGUGGGGAAUAUUGCACAAUGGGCGGAAGCCUGAUGCAGCGACGCCGCGUGAGGGAUGACGGCCUUCGGGUUGUAAACCUCUUUCAGUAGGGAAGAAGCGAGAGUGACGGUACCUGCAGAAGAAGCGCCGGCUAACUACGU
rnacentral:rRNA from 1 species